UGGUUUGAUCCUGGCUCAGGAUGAACGCUAGCGGCAGGCCUAAUACAUGCAAGUCGAACGGUAACAGGUCCUUCGGGACGCUGACGAGUGGCGCACGGGUGCGUAACGCGUAUACAACCUACCUUUAACAGGAGGAUAGCCCCGAGAAAUCGGGAUUAAUACUCCAUAACAUUGAUUUACCGCAUCAAGAGAUGAUAAAAACUCAGGCGGUUAGAGAUGAGCAUGCGGGACAUUAGUUAGUUGGUGAGGUAAUGGCUCACCAAGACCACGAUGUUUAGGGGUUCUGAGAGGAUUAUCCCCCACACUGGUACUGAGACACGGACCAGACUCCUACGGGAGGCAGCAGUAGGGAAUAUUGGUCAAUGGACGCAAGUCUGACCCAGCCAUGCCGCGUGCAGGAUGAAGGCCCUACGGGUCGUAAACUGCUUUUAUAUGGGAAGAAACCCCCGGACGUGUCCGGGGCUGACGGUACCGUAAGAAUAAGGAUCGGCUAACUCCGUGCCAGCAGCCGCGGUAAUAGGGAGGAUCCAAGCGUUAUCCGGAUUCAUUGGGUUUAAAGGGUCCGCAGGCGGGUUAGAUAAGUCAAUGGUGAAAUCCUUCAGCUUAACUGGAGAAUUGCCAUUGAUACUGCUGAUCUUGAGUUCGGUUGAAGUGGGCGGAAUGUGUAGUGUAGCGGUGAAAUGCUUAGAUAUAAUCGUAGAACACCAAUUGCGAAGGCAGCUCACUAACCUAGUACUGACGCUGAUGCACGAAAGCGUGGGGAGCGAACAGGAUUAGAUACCCUGGUAGUCCACGCCGUAAACGAUGAUUACUCGGUGUUGGCGAUAUACAGUCAGUACCCAAGCGAAAGUGAUAAGUAAUCCACCUGGGGAGUACGAUCGCAAGGUUGAAACUCAAAGGAAUUGACGGGGGCCCGCACAAGCGGUGGAGCAUGUGGUUUAAUUCGAUGAUACGCCAGGAACCUUACCUGGGCUUAAAUGUAGAUUGCAUGAAGGGGAAACCUUUCUUUUCUUCGGAACUAUUUACAAGGUGCUGCAUGGUUGUCGUCAGCUCGUGCCGUGAGGUGUCGGGUUAAGUCCCAUAACGAGCGCAACCCCUACCUUUAGUUGCCAUCAGGUAAUGCUGGGGACUCUAAAGGAACUGCCUACGCAAGUAGUGAGGAAGGUGGGGAUGACGUCAAAUCAGCACGGCCCUUACGUCCAGGGCUACACACGUGCUACAAUGGUCGGUACAGAGGGCAGCAACCCUGUGAGGGUGUGCAAAUCUCCAAAGCCGAUCUCAGUUCGGAUCGAAGUCUGAAACUCGACUUCGUGAAGUUGGAUUCGCUAGUAAUCGUAGAUCAGCAACGCUACGGUGAAUACGUUCCCGGGCCUUGUACACACCGCCCGUCAAACCAUGGAAGUUGGGGGUGCUUGAAGUACGUUACCGUAAGGAGCGUCCUAGGGUAAAACCAAUGACUGGGGUUAAGUCGGAACAAGGUAGCCG
rnacentral:rRNA from 1 species